rnacentral:sRNA from 1 species
ACUGUCACCACCGCAAGAUCCUGCACCGGGACCUGAAGCCCCAGAACCUGCUCAUCAACGAGAGGGGGGAGCUGAAGCUGGCCGAUUUUGGACUGGCCAGGGCCAAGUCAGUGCCCACAAAGACUUACUCCAAUGAGGUGGUGACCCUGUGGUACAGGCCCCCCGAUGUGCUGCUGGGAUCCACAGAGUACUCCACCCCCAUUGAUAUGUGUGGGGCACACAGUGGAGAGAGUUUGAGACAACACUGCUGAGAGAAUUGCCACAUGGGCGCUGGCUGCACAGACCCAAACCUCACAGAGUGAAAGGGGAGAGGUCGCAGCUUUCCCGAGCCCAGGGAAGCCCCCCAGAGAGGGGCUGUAGUGGGGGCUGGGCAGUUCUAGGAGCCUCCACUGCCCUGGGCCACCCCUCCGCCGCCAGAGCCACGACCCCUGCAGCCGCCUGUGGCAGGUCGUCAUUGGUGCCCUGGUGGAGCAGCCCUAGGAAGGGCGGCCGCCCCUGCCUGAUGCCGACCCUACCCCUUGCUCCCC